AUUUCCGGAUUUGCGCACGCAUUUUUGGUUCGUAGAUAGACCGCUGUACCGCAUAUCAACGCAUUUACGAGCUGCAAGAACGCGAAAAGUUAAUCUCUACAAAAAUAAAAGCCUGCCUGCCCUCUGAAACUGACCGGAUGCCGAAUAGAAGAUCAGUAGAACUGAUUUCAAGAGCACACGAGAACACAUGUAUGUGCAAAGAAAGCGAAGACCAGAAUUCGGCAUCUUCUUUCCUCUCGAGGCGUGCUACCAAACCGCCAUCUUGCAUGCAUUGUCUUGAAGAAGCCAGCGGAAUGUAACGUGCUUGUAGGCGAUGGACUGGGUUUAUAAUGCGGAGAGGACUAGAAGCUGUGAGUUUCACCGCCACCGGCAGAAGUGACGUUUUCGUGGCAACCCUGGAGAUUGAUCCCUAAUGCUAUUUCAGCGAUUAAAAGGGGGAGAGAUAUCGUUAACGAUAAAGUUACGUAACUAACUAAUUUGUUUUUAAGUUAAUAGUGGACUUAUUUAUUGCACAUAACAUAUGAUUAAAUUAUAUGGAAGUAAACGAUUUACGAAAUAUUUUGAUACCCGAUUAUUCUAAGGGUUGAUUUGGGAAAAAAAAAACAGUGAUUUUGGUGUAGAAGUUACGAUACUGUAUAUCCCUACCAGUUACAGGUAGCGCAAAGAAAAAUCAGACAGGUUGAGCAAGCUCGAUAGCUCUUACCUUUUUUAUGAUGUUCUUCUGGUAGUAAUAUCUUAGCGCGCGGCUUAGCUUGUCGUAGUUCAUGCCUGGCCUUUGCUUGAGGUCGCCCCAUCUUCGCGCGACUUCCUCCUGGUUCCGGAGCUUGAACUCACCCUCCUCCUUCUUCGUCCAAGAUAUCAUCGACGCGCAGCUCUCGUCGGCAAGCAGCUCCAGUAGAAACUCCCAGAGAUGCACUGCGGGCUUUGUACCAGUCAAUCUAAUUGUCUUUUCCUCUUCAUAUUCAAACAAAAAAUACGCAUUUAGAACUGUUCAAGAAAGGUGUCAGGCAAUACUCUGAGGAAAUCUCCGUACAGACAGCGCCAGCAUUGCUGGCAAGACGCUUGCGAGACGUUGGUCCAUCGUCCCCAAACAACAACAACAACAACAACAACAACAACAACAACAACGAAAAGUCAGUUUUCAAAAAUAAAAAUAUUAAUAGAUAGUAUAAAAAAAGUAAAGAUGAAGGAAUUGCCGUAUAAGUAUAAUAUACUUAUUUUUAUCUGUUAUUCAGCCAAUUUUGAGCCGAUUAUUAGAUAAACAAAUAUAUUUCUUAGCCUUGACCAAAUAAAAGUGUCCAAUGUCAAAGGCCGGACGAUUUUUCCCGUAGUCAUCGUUACAGGUUCCGGCAUUUGAUUUUUAGUAAUCCUAGUGAAUUUUUUUUUUCUAGAUUUCACAUACUCUUGUCCCAAAAUAUAUAGAACCAUAAUUACUUUGCAUUCUUUCUUACUUACAUACACAUACACAAUUUCAUUGCGAGCUCUGGACCGGAGAAAUUCACCAACGUUUCCGCAAAACGAGGAACGUCAAAAACGGGAAACAAAAAUUUGAUUAGACUAAAGGUCUAGGAGUAUCCGCCCACGUAUUGAAUGAACA